UAGUGAUCCGGUGGUUCCGCAUGGAAGGGCCAUCGCUCAACGGAUAAAAGCUACCCCGGGGAUAACAGGCUUAUCUCCCCCAAGAGUCCACAUCGACGGGGAGGUUUGGCACCUCGAUGUCGGCUCAUCGCAUCCUGGGGCUGUAGUCGGUCCCAAGGGUUGGGCUGUUCGCCCAUUAAAGCGGUACGCGAGCUGGGUUCAGAACGUCGUGAGACAGUUCGGUCCCUAUCCGUCGCGGGCGCAGGAAAUUUGAGAGGAGCUGUCCUUAGUACGAGAGGACCGGGAUGGACGCACCGCUGGUGUACCAGUUGUUCUGCCAAGGGCAUCGCUGGGUAGCUAUGUGCGGACGGGAUAAGUGCUGAAAGCAUCUAAGCAUGAAGCCCCCCUCAAGAUGAGAUUUCCCAUUCCGCAAGGAAGUAAGAUCCCUGAAAGAUGAUCAGGUUGAUAGGUCUGAGGUGGAAGCGUGGUGACACGUGGAGCUGACAGAUACUAAUAGAUCGAGGACUUAACCUAU
rnacentral:rRNA from 1 species